UUAGGGGGAGACGGGCGGAGGGGAGGAAAGUCCGGGCUCCAUAGGGCAAGGUGCCAGGUAACGCCUGGGGGGUGUCACAGCCCACGACCAGUGCAACAGAGAGCAAACCGCCGAUGGCCCGCGCAAGCGGGAUCAGGUAAGGGUGAAAGGGUGCGGUAAGAGCGCACCGCGCGGCUGGUAACAGUCCGCGGCACGGUAAACUCCACCCGGAGCAAGGCCAAAUAGGGGUUCAUAAGGUACGGCCCGUACUGAACCCGGGUAGGCUGCUUGAGCCAGUGAGC
rnacentral:ribozyme from 1 species